UACGUAGGCAGCGAGCGUUGUUCGGAGUUACUGGGCGUAAAGGGUGUGUAGGCGGUUGUUUAAGUUUGGUGUGAAAUCUCCCGGCUCAACUGGGAGGGUGCGCCGAAUACUGAAUGACUAGAGUGCGGGAGAGGAAAGUGGAAUUCCUGGUGUAGCGGUGAAAUGCGUAGAUAUCGAGAGGAACACCUGCGGCGAAGGCGGGUAGCUGGGCCGACACUGACGCUGAGGCGCGAAAGCCAGGGGAGCGAACGGG
rnacentral:rRNA from 1 species